rnacentral:rRNA from 1 species
AUUGAACGCUGGCGGCAGGCCUAACACAUGCAAGUCGAGCGAGCGGCGGACGGGUGAGUAAUGUCUGGGAAACUGCCUGAUGGAGGGGGAGAACUACUGGAAACGGUAGCUAAUACCGCAUACCAUCAGAUGUGCCCAGAUGGGAUUAGCUGGUAGGUGGGGUAACGGCUCACCUAGGCGACGAUCCCUAGCUGGCCUGAGAGGAUGACCAGCCACACUGGAACUGAGACACGGUCCAGACUCCUACGGGAGGCAGCAGUGGGGAAUAUUGCACAAUUGGCGCAAGCCUGAUGCAGCCAUGCCGCGUGUGUGAGGAAUGCCUUCGGAUUGUAAAGCACUUUCAUCGGGGAGGCGUUACCCACAGAAGAAGCACCGGCUAACUCCGUGCCAGCAGCCGCGGUAAUAC